UACGUAGGGGGCAAGCGUUGUCCGGAUUUAUUGGGCGUAAAGCGCUCGCAGGCGGUUCGAUGCGUCGUGCGUGAAAGACCCCGGCUCAACUGGGGAGGGUCGUGCGAUACGGUCGAACUGGAGGCCAGUAGGGGGAUGCGGAAUUCCGGGUGUAGUGGUGGAAUGCGUAGAGAUCCGGAGGAACACCAGCGGCGAAGGCGGCAUCCUGGACUGGUCCUGACACUCAUGAGCGAAAGCGUGGGGAGCGAUCCGG
rnacentral:rRNA from 1 species